rnacentral:rRNA from 1 species
CCUACGGGAGGCAGCAGUGGGGAAUUUUGGACAAUGGGCGCAAGCCUGAUCCAGCAAUGCCGCGUGCAGGAUGAAGGCCUUCGGGUUGUAAACUGCUUUUGUACGGAACGAAACGGCGAGCUCUAAUACAGUUUGCUAAUGACGGUACCGUAAGAAUAAGCACCGGCUAACUACGUGCCAGCAGCCGCGGUAAUACGUAGGGUGCGAGCGUUAAUCGGAAUUACUGGGCGUAAAGCGUGCGCAGGCGGUGAUGUAAGACAGAUGUGAAAUCCCCGGGCUCAACCUGGGACCUGCAUUUGUGACUGCAUCGCUAGAGUACGGCAGAGGGGGAUGGAAUUCCGCGUGUAGCAGUGAAAUGCGUAGAUAUGCGGAGGAACACCGAUGGCGAAGGCAAUCCCCUGGGCCUGUACUGACGCUCAUGCACGAAAGCGUGGGGAGCAAACAGGAUUAGAUACCCUGGUAGUCCACGCCCUAAACGAUGUCAACUGGUUGUGGGUNUUCAUUCGCUCAGUGACG